rnacentral:rRNA from 1 species
GACGAACGCUGGCGGCGUGCUUAACACAUGCAAGUCGAACGGAAAGGCCCUGCUUUUGUGGGGUGCUCGAGAGGCGAACGGGUGAGUAACACGUGAGUAACCUGCCCUUGACUUUGGGGUAACUUCAGGAAACUGGGGCGAAUACAGGAUAGGAGCUCCUGCUGCAUGGGGGGGGUUGGAAAGUUUCGGCGGUUGGGGAUGGACUCGCGGCUUAUCAGCUUGUUGGUGGGGUAGUGGCUUACCAAGGCGUUGACGGGUAGCCGGACUGAGAGGGUGACCGGCCACAUUGGGACUGAGAUACGGCCCAGACGCCUACGGGAGGCAGCAGUGGGGAAUAUUGCACAAUGGGCGGAAGCCUGAUGCAGCAACGCCGCGUGCGGGAUGACGGCCUUCGGGUUGUAACCCGCUUUCGCCUGUGACGAAGCGUGAGUGACGGUAAUGGGUAAAGAAGCACCGGCUAACUACGUG